GGCCUACUGCGAUGCAUUUAUUAAGUAUUUUCUUUGCAACAAUCACACAGCACAUACAUACGUAUAUGUUUGCUCUUCAUCUUAACCUACAGUUUUCUAUGAAAUAAGGACCUCAAUGAUGAGCAACUUAAGCGUUAAGUUAGUAAACUCAAAACAAGGCAAAAAAAACAUCUGGAUGGCAAAGGCAGGCGGCCAAAAACCCUCUUCACACUGCAAAUCUUCUCAGGGGGUUUGCACCAAAGUUAAAAUGAAACAAAUGGAAAUGAAUAAAGGCCUACAUAUAUAUAUAUAUAUAUAUAUAUAUAUAUAUAUAUAUAUAUAUAUAUAUAUAUAUAUAUAUAUAUAUAUAUAUAUAUAUAUAUAUAUAUAUAUAUAUAUAUAUAUAUAUAUUCUUUUAAAAUAUACAAUGCAAAGGUAAGAACAUACAUAGAUCUACAUGCCUAAUAGCAAAGUCUUCAUUGGUGCAUAGAAAACUCGCACAUCUACCUGUAAGUGCUUAGAACAGACUGCAUGUGACAAAUACCGACUUUUUGUUUACCAGAGAACAGUGCAGCCAAAAGCAGCAUUCCUGCUCAAACUAAACAAAGGGGAAAGUAAUAAAAGUGUUUGAUAUGACUGUGAACUGGUAAACACACAGAGACUCAGCAACCUUGAUAAUAACAACACUGUUUGACAUUGAUUUGAGGUGUUCAGAGUUUAUUAUUUGAUGGGAUUAAUUGCGUACUGUUUGCAUAUAGAACAUGACGACGCUGGCUCUGUGUGCAGCUCCAGAUAUAGGUAUGUCUGGUAACCUGUUUGAGAAUAAAACUACUCCUACACAGCGGCAACUGAUUAAAAUGAGAAAAAGUAGAAGGAGUUGUUAUUCUGUGACUUUUUAAAAGUAAUAAAAACACUUAGUAUCUCUGUUAAAUAUAAACACACAUCAGCUGGUAUUACUGUAGAAGCUGUUGUGUUCCUUCCAGUCCUUUGUGAUUAUCCUUCCUCUCUGUCUGCAACAUUAGGUACCUGUGAUUUAUGUCACAUUCCACACUUGCUUUCACAUCAUUUGUGUAAAUUAUCCUGAUUAGAACCUAACUUGUAGGUUCACUGAAGGCACACAGUAUCUGAAACGAGCUGACAGAAAGAUAUCUACACAGCUGACGCAACUGGUAUUUACAGAAAAAUAACAACAACAUGGCGUCACUUCUGCAAAUGUGACGCUUCAUUGCAUUCAAAGUAGGGCUUUGGUGUAUUGCAAUACUUCAUUACUGGGUCAAACCCCUGUUAUGUUCUGCAUAAAGGAGACUUCAUUAACACCCCUGUUAGAAUACACACAUCAGGAUGUGAUGCAUUCAGUCGAUCAAUCCUCUACAACAAGAAUUGUUAACAUCCACUCCUACAGUUCCCCCUCACAUCCACCAGGUGUCUCCAUCCACCUGUUAGUAGGAGGCGGUAGCAGCAGUGACAGAAGCGGAGCAGCUGGGCUGGAUGUGCUUCAGGUGGCAGGAGUGGCAGAGGAGGUGUCCGUUCAGAGGGUAGCAGCGGUGACCCUCCUCGUCGUUCAGCUCCAUCUUACAGUCC
ensembl:lncRNA